GGGGAUGUAGCUCAGUGGUACAGCAUGUGCUUAGCAUACAAAAGCCCUUGGGUUCAAUUCCCAACAGCUCCC
rnacentral:tRNA from 1 species